rnacentral:rRNA from 1 species
ACGAACGCUGGCGGCGUGCUUAGCACAUGCAAGUCGAACGAGAGCGUAGAGAAAGCUUGCUUUUUCUACAAUCUAGUGGCAAACGGGUGAGUAACGCGUAAACAACCUGCCCUACGGAUGGGGACAACAGCUGGAAACGGCUGCUAAUACCGAAUACGUUCCGAAAGUCGCAUGACUAUCGGAAGAAAGGAUGGCCUCUAUUUAUAAGCUAUCGCCGGAGGAGGGGUUUGCGUCUGAUUAGCUAGUUGGAGGGGUAACGGCCCACCAAGGCGACGUUCAGUAGCCGGUCUGAGAGGAUGAACGGCCACAUUGGAACUGAGACACGGUCCAGACUCCUACGGGAGGCAGCAGUGGGGAAUCUUCCGCAAUGGGCGAAAGCCUGACGGAGCAACGCCGCGUGAGUGAAGACGGCCUUCGGGUUGUAAAGCUCUGUUAUACGGGACGAAUAAUCUUGUGGUUAAUACCCAUGAGAAGUGACGGUACCGUAAGAGAAAGCCACGGCUAACUACGUG